UACGUAGGGGGCAAGCGUUGUCCGGAUUUAUUGGGCGUAAAGAGCGUGUAGGCGGCCAGACAGGUCCGUUGUGAAAACUCGAGGCUCAACCUCGAGACGUCGAUGGAAGCCGUCUGGCUAGAGUCCGGAAGAGGAGUGUGGAAUUCCUGGUGUAGCGGUGAAAUGCGCAGAUAUCAGGAAGAACACCUAUGGCGAAGGCAGCACUCUGGGACGGUACUGACGCUGAGACGCGAAAGCGUGGGGAGCGAACAGG
rnacentral:rRNA from 1 species